rnacentral:rRNA from 1 species
ACGGGUCCUUCGGGAUGCCGACGAGUGGCGAACGGGUGAGUAAUAUAUCGGAACGUGCCCAGUAGUGGGGGAUAACUGCUCGAAAGAGCAGCUAAUACCGCAUACGCCCUACGGGAGAAAGCAGGGGACCUUCGGGCCUUGCGCUAUCAGAUGAGCCUAGGUCGGAUUAGCUAGUUGGUGGGGUAAUGGCUCACCAAGGCGACGAUCCGUAACUGGUCUGAGAGGAUGAUCAGUCACACUGGAACUGAGACACGGUCCAGACUCCUACGGGAGGCAGCAGUGGGGAAUAUUGGACAAUGGGCGAAAGCCUGAUCCAGCCAUGCCGCGUGUGUGAAGAAGGCCUUCGGGUUGUAAAGCACUUUCAGCGAGGAGGAAAGGUUACUGGCUAAUAUCCAGUAGCUGUGACGUUACUCGCAGAAGUAGGACCGGCUAACUCCGUGCCAGCAGCCGCGGUAAU